rnacentral:lncRNA from 1 species
CGGGUCACCUUUUUAGUUUUUGCAGAUUCGGUCCGCUUUUUCAGCAAACUGACCAAAAUACCCUUAUUACUUUUUCUCUUUCCUCUUUCUCUCUCCUCUUCGUUUCUGUUGUUUUUUUUUUUUUUCUCGCCGAAAAAAAAAGGGGGACCGUCACCUUCUUCUUCACCGUCGUCUCCCUUCUCACCAUCCUCUUCACCGUCGCCCCCCUCCUCACACUCCUCUCCACCGCCCGCGACUCCCUCCUCCUCUCCUCCGCCGCCGCGGACCCCCAGCCCGAUCCCGUCGCCGCGGCGGCAGCGGCCGCGGCGAACGGGGUCGGGCUGGAUGCGGAGAAGAAGACAACGGCGAAGAAGAAGAAGGGGAGGCCAAGCGA